rnacentral:rRNA from 1 species
UACAGAGGGUGCAAGCGUUGUUCGGAUUUACUGGGCGUAAAGCGCGUGUAGGCGGUGGCGUAAGUCGGAUGUGAAAUCCCUCGGCUUAACCGAGGACGUGCACCUGAUACUGUGCCACUUGAGUACCGGAGGGGAUGGCGGAAUUCCCGGUGUAGAGGUGAAAUUCGUAGAUAUCGGGAGGAACACCUGUGGCGAAGGCGGCCAUCUGGACGGUAACUGACGCUGAGACGCGAAAGCGUGGGUAGCAAACAGG